rnacentral:rRNA from 1 species
CGCGUAGGCGGGAUGGCAAGUCGGUCGUGAAAUCUCUCGGCUCAACCGAGAAACGUCGGCCGAUACUGCCGUUCUUGAGGGAUGCAGAGGAGACUGGAAUUCCCGGUGUAGCGGUGAAAUGUGUAGAGAUCGGGAGGAACACCGGUGGCGAAGGCGGGUCUCUGGGCAUUUCCUGACGCUGAGGCGCGAAAGCGUGGGGAGCAAACG